GCCCACGACACCUUGCUUAGCCACACCCCUAAGGGAUUUCAGCAGUGAUUAACCUUAAGCCAUAAGUGAAAACUUGACUUAGCCACGGCUAAUAGGGCCGGUAAAUCUCGUGCCAGCCACCGCGGUUAUACGAAAGACCCAAGCUGAUAGAUGCCGGCGUAAAGAGUGGUUAAGUAUCUUGAUAGAACUAAAGCCGAACGCCCUCAAGACCGUUAUACGUUUCCGAAGGUAUGAAGCCCAACCACGAAAGUAACUUUAAUUAUAUCCGACUCCACGAAAGCUGUGAAACAAACUGGGAUUAGAUACCCCACUAUGCCCAGCCCUAAACUUUGAUAAUUUAUCACACCCAUUAUCCGCCUGGGAACUACGAGCUUCAGCUUAAAACCCAAAGGACUUGGCGGUGCUUAAGAUCCACCUAGAGGAGCCUGUUCUAUAACCGAUACCCCCCGUUCAACCUCACCCUCUCUUGUUUAUCCC
rnacentral:rRNA from 1 species